rnacentral:rRNA from 1 species
GAUGAACGCUGGCGGCGUGCCUAAUACAUGCAAGUCGAGCGAACAGACGAGGAGCUUGCUCCUCUGACGUUAGCGGCGGACGGGUGAGUAACACGUGGAUAACCUACCUAUAAGACUGGGAUAACUUCGGGAAACCGGAGCUAAUACCGGAUAAUAUAUUGAACCGCAUGGUUCAAUAGUGAAAGACGGUUUUGCUGUCACUUAUAGAUGGAUCCGCGCCGCAUUAGCUAGUUGGUAAGGUAACGGCUUACCAAGGCAACGAUGCGUAGCCGACCUGAGAGGGUGAUCGGCCACACUGGAACUAAGACACGGUCCAGACUCCUACGGGAGGCAGCAGUAGGGAAUCUUCCGCAAUGGGCGAAAGCUUGAUGGAGCAACGCCGCGUGAGUGAUGAAGGUCUUCGGAUCGUAAAACUCUGUUAUUAGGGAAGAACAAAUGUGUAAGUAACUAUGCACGUCUUGACGGUACCUAAUCAGAAAGCCACGGCUAACUACGUG